GAGAGUAUAGCUCAUUGGUAGAGCGUGUGCUCAGCAUGCAUAAGAUCUUGGUUCAAUCCCCAGUACUUCCA
rnacentral:tRNA from 1 species